GUUCUGCGUUGGGAGAGAUUCCGAAUUCAACCUCUCAGCUGCCGCAACCGCCGCAGCUGCUGCAGACACCAGAACCACAUCAGCCACCGCAUCCACAUCAAACACAGGAUUACUACCCCUCCACACAUCAGCCACCUGAGCAUAUUAUUUCAACCAAUGAUCCCAAUGAACCAGUUAGCAAACCUAAUGGUGUUCAAGAUCUAGCUACCGAUGAAAUCAUUCCAGAGGAUUGUUUUCAUCCAGAUGAAUUUAUGUGUCUGCCGUUUGAUCCGUCACAAGAUUACUUGCUGCCGUCACCAAUGAACAUGGAACUGGGAGAUGUGUGCAUCCCAAUAACUGUAUUGGAUGCACUGAUGAGUUGCGAUCUCUAGAUAUAUGGAGAUUUAAACACUUUUCCCAUUAGGUUCUUGAUUUAUCAUUGUCGACCAGGAUUAGUAAUUAGUAUCCUGGAAGAAACAACAAACCCUACUUUUAGUGACUCUAAUCUACCAAGAGUCACAAGCACGAGUCUAAGAUAGCAACAGUAACAUAGAUUUAGUUGGUAUUAGUUACUCUAGAAUAGCUAGUGAACAAGAAGAUUUAGUUGUCAAAAACAGCAGUAUGGGACUUGUAAACCCCAAGAACUCUAGCAGAACUCUAGCAAGAGUACACCCUUAUCUGCAUUUCAGGAACCGUAGGCAUUAGAAACUUCUUUUCCUAGUUCUGGUGGAUAUGUCCAGGACAACCGAUGUAGGUUACCUAAGCCUAUUCUUGUCCUUUUUGGACGUUUUUAAGCAUUCCCUAGUUUUAGAAACUUCAAAGCGUGUGAGGUGAACCUGUUAGUUCAAAGUAACAGCAGCAAAACCAGUAUUUGAGAUUUCAACUGGAAAUCUUUCCUACAAGGAGUCUAGAUGAAGCAAAGAUGUCUCUCAGAAGCAGUUGUUUGGAGACCGCGACUCUCCUGUCAACAGAACUACAAAUAAUCCUCAGCAAAAUUGUCUGUUAAUAUUGUACUGUCUUCAUCAAAAGUCAUAUACCUCAACGAGAUCGUCUUCAAUCAUCAUUCAUUCGUGUCUAUCCACUGGAAGUUGCUCCGAGAAAAAUCCGACUGCAAAGCUGUAUCACAAGACAAGGUCAGGGAAGCUGCAGAGUUGCAUUGCUCUUCAUCGGCCCCGGAAGAAAACAAAAACCGAGUCUUUGAAGCAUACAGUUUUGAAGCAGGCAUCUAUAGGGUUCUUUCUUUGAAGCAUCUCCUUAAAACCACUUAUCAAGUGUCCCCGAUGGGGAAUGGUAUUGUUACUUCGAUACCAAGUUCUAGUUCUAGCCUCAUACUCAGGCUUUCGUUCCACAGUCGUUUAUUCUGGAAAUGGCGUUAUACAGGAUCUGCUGCAACAUGGCUGCUGGAGUCCCAAAUAUAUUACAAUAGCCAGACACUAAAUGGUGAUGUCCUGGUUGUUGGUAUUGAAAUUUGAGGUUCCAUCCCUAAUGGAGUAGCAAUUACAAUCAUUAUCAAAAUUUGAUGAUUAUGAUUGGUAUAAUCCGUUGAUAACCUUCAGAAUUAAACACCCAUCUUAUGUAAAUAUUGCUUUAAUUAAUUUCCCUGUAUCAUCUCAAGCACUAUUUGGAUGCGACUUUACCAGAAAUCAAAGAAGUUGCGUACUGUGAGGCCCCAUCAUCCGUCACUCCAUAGACAUCCGGCAAAGUCUAGCUCAUGACUAUAAAGAAGAGCUUAUUGGGAGGCAACCCAAGUUUUCCUAAUUUUCCUUUUGUUUUCGCUGUUUUUCAUUUUAUUUUUUUGUUGGAGUCAGCUUUAAUUUCUUUCAUGCUUUCAGGAAUAG